UAGUAUUUUCUACUGACUUUACUUAAGAAGAAAAAUUUUACCUACACCAUUUUAUAAAGAUGAUUAAUUGUGAAUGACAAGAAACAUAUCUGUUUAAGAAUGACCUCUUCUCUCACACAUCGCUUUCCCCUUGUUACGAGUACGAGCGUCACUCCAGGAACCAGACCACAUACGCAGAUAGGAAAAAGACAGUCAGAUGCCUUUGAGAAAUGCAUUAAUAUAUCCGUGGAAAGAAAC